AUUGAACGCUGGCGGCAUGCCUUACACAUGCAAGUCGAACGGCAGCACGGGAGCAAUCCUGGUGGCGAGUGGCGAACGGGUGAGUAAUAUAUCGGAGUGUGCCCAGUCGUGGGGGAUAACGCAGCGAAAGCUGUGCUAAUACCGCAUACGAUCUACGGAUGAAAGCGGGGGAUCGCAAGACCUCGCGCGAUUGGGGCGGCCGAUAUCAGAUUAGCGAGUUGGUGGGGUAAAGGCCCACAAAGGCGACGAACGGUAGCUGGUCUGAGAGGACGGCGAGCCACACGGGAAGUGACGCACGGUCCAGACUCCUACUGGAGGCAGCAGUGGGGAAUUUUGGACAAUGGGCGCAAGCAUGAUCCAGCAAUGCCGGGUGCAGGAUGAAGACCUUCGGGCUGUAAACUGCUUUUGUACGGAACGAAACGGCCCUUUCUAAUACAGGGGGCUAAUGACGGUACCGUAAGAAUAAGCACCGGCUAACUACGUGCCAGCAGCCGCAGUAA
rnacentral:rRNA from 1 species